ensembl:lincRNA
UGCUGCAGAUGGCCUUCAUCUGUGGGGUCAGGAGCACCCUCAAUCUAAAAGUUGUCCAUCUGGAAAGAGCUAUUGUUGCUACCCAUGCUGGGGAACAAUGGUCAGCGGGUUGAAUUUUUUUCUAGCCAGCGGGUCAUCUCAGUGUGGACUCUGACGGGCUUCGUUCCCUGCCCCGGUGGAUCUGGAAGUGCCUACGACCUUGGGAGCGGUGGCCUUUCUCCUAACAGAAGAGCAUAUCGAUGCUCUUAGGAUUUUGAAGCUAGAGGAGAUCAAAGCGCAGAUCCUAUGCAGCAGAUGCUUUGCUCUAUGGCCAAGGCUGUCAUCCCCAAAAGAAUGCGUGGCUGCCCAAGUGAAACAAUGGGAUCUAGUUGUAUUUUAUGUAGAUAAAUUUGAUUUUUAAGAAAGAAUUGGAUAAAUGCAAUAUAAUGAAAGUAUAACCAAGACACAUGCUGAUAAAUGACAGGAACUUUGGGGAAACAUUAUGUUAAAAAUGUCAGAAGAUGGGAUUAAUUAAGGGAAAUGGCCAAAAUUGUUAUCAUGUAGGGUCUAAGGAGGGUACACCUUGAAAAUGACUUUUGGUAUAGAGAAGGGUAUGGAACAUAUGUAGAAAUUAUACAAAAUAAAUGCUAAGAAGUCAAUUAAGUAUUUUUUGUUAAUUUUUUCUCAAAUGAAAUUUGUUACCUUUGUUUGGAUUUUGAAAGGUUAUUCUUUUGUUUUGAGUCAUAUCUUUUAAGAAACUUACUGUAUGUACAAAUGGGUUUCUUUCUAUAUCAAUCUUAAUAUAUCCAGCAAAAGUAAUUUUAUACUCAAGAAUAAAAUUGAAUGCUGUUUGAUUUAUUCAUUCAGAUAUUUGCUCUGAGCAAGACUCUACCAGGCACUGAAAUAGAAGGCCCUCAAGUGUAUUCAAUAAAGAAUUUGAUGAACUUAUAUCUGUAUGGUUAUAUGGAUGGUUCUUUUUGGCUUUCAUCAUUUUAAAUUGAUAUAUGAUAACUGUCCAUAUUUAUGGGGUACAGAGUAACUUUUUUUUGAGAUGGCUCUCACUCUGUCACUCAGGCUGGAGUGCAGUGGCACGAUCUCAGUUUACUGCAACCUCUGCCUCCUGGGUUCAAGCAAUUCUCCUGCCUCAGUCUCCUGAAUAGCUGGGAUUACAGGCACAUGCCACCACGCCUGGCUAAUUUUUGUAUUUUUGUUUUUUUUUAGUAGAGAGGGGGUUUUACCAUGUUGACCAGGCUGAUCUUGAACUCCUGACCUCAGGUAAUCCACCCACUGUGGCCUCCCAAAGGGCUGGGAUUACAGGCAUGAGCCACCACAUCCGGUCCCAGAGUAAUAUUUGGACACAUGUUUGCGAUGUGUAAUGAUCAAAUCACAGUAAUCAGUACUUUCAUCACCUCAAGCAUUCAUCGUUUCUUUGUAUUGGGAAUAUUCAAAAUCUUCUCUUCUAUUUGAAAAUAGUCAAUCAAUUGUUGUUGAUUAUAGUCACCCUCUAGUGCUCUAGAACACUAGGAAUGAUUCUUCCUAUCUGUGCUUUUGUACUCAUUAACCAAACAAAAGAAUAUUCUUUAUACAUCAGUUUUUAUCACCUAUUAAGAUUAUAAUGAUUAACAUAAUUUGCAAAUUACAUAACAUUGAAAAUCA